rnacentral:rRNA from 1 species
UACGUAGGGACCAAGCGUUGUUCGGAUUUACUGGGCGUAAAGGGCGCGUAGGCGGCAAAUUAAGUCAGUUGUGAAAUCUCCGAGCUUAACUCGGAAAGGUCAACUGAUACUGUGCGACUAGAGUGCAGAAGGGGCAACUGGAAUUCUUGGUGUAGCGGUGAAAUGCGUAGAUAUCAAGAGGAACACCUGCGGCGAAGGCGGGUUGCUGGGCUGACACUGACGCUGAUGCGCGAAAGCCAGGGGAGCGAACGGG